rnacentral:rRNA from 1 species
AUACGUAGGGUGCAAGCGUUAAUCGGAAUUACUGGGCGUAAAGCGUGCGCAGGCGGUUUUGUAAGACAGUGGUGAAAUCCCCGGGCUCAACCUGGGAACUGCCAUUGUGACUGCAAGGCUGGAGUGCGGCAGAGGGGGAUGGAAUUUCGCGUGUAGGAGUGAAAUGCGUAGAUAUGCGGAGGAACACCGAUGGCGAAGGCAAUCCCCUGGGCCUGCACUGACGCUCAUGCACGAAAGCGUGGGGAGCAAACAGGAUUAGAUACCCUGGUAGUCCACGCCCUAAACGAUGUCAACUGGUUGUUGGGGAUUUAUUUUCUCAGUAACGAAGCUAACGCGUGAAGUCGACCGCCUGGGGAGUACGGCCGCAAGGUUAAAACUCAAAUGAAUUGACGGGG